rnacentral:rRNA from 1 species
UACUGACGCUCAUAUGCGAAAGCGUGGGUAGCAAACAGGAUUAGAUACCCUGGUAGUCCACGCCGUAAACGAUGUCAAUUAGGAGCUUGUGCGAUAGUAUGGGUUCCGCAGCAAACGCGAUAAAUUGACCGCCUGGGGAGUACGGCCGCAAGGUUAAAACUCAAAUGAAUUGACGGGGGCCCGCACAAGCGGUGGAGCAUGUGGUUUAAUUCGACGCAACGCGAAGAACCUUACCUGACCUUGACAUAGUGAGAACCUCUCUGAAGGGAGAGGGUGCCUUCGGGAGCUCACAUACAGGUGCUGCAUGGCUGUCGUCAGCUCGUGUCGUGAGAUGUUGGGUUAAGUCCCGCAACGAGCGCAACCCUUGUCCUUUGUUGCCAGCGGGUAAAGCCGGGAACUCAAAGGAGACUGCCAGUGACAAACUGGAGGAAGGCAGGGAUGACGUCAAGUCAUCAUGGCCCUUACGGUCAGGGCUACACACGUGCUACAAUGGGGCGUACAGAGGGAAACGAUACCGCGAGGUGGAGUGGAACCCACAAAGCGUCCCUAAGUUCGGAUUGGAGUCUGCAACUCGACUCCAUGAAGUCGGAAUCGCUAGUAA